rnacentral:rRNA from 1 species
AAAUUGAAGAGUUUGAUCAUGGCUCAGAUUGAACGCUGGCGGCAGGCCUAACACAUGCAAGUCGAACGGUAGCACAGAGAGCUUGCUCUCGGGUGACGGUGACG